rnacentral:rRNA from 1 species
CGCGGCCUAUCAGCUUGUUGGUGAGGUAAUGGCUCACCAAGGCGACGACGGGUAGCCGGCCUGAGAGGGCGACCGGCCACACUGGGACUGAGACACGGCCCAGACUCCUACGGGAGGCAGCAGUGGGGAAUAUUGCACAAUGGGCGAAAGCCUGAUGCAGCGACGCCGCGUGAGGGAUGACGGCCUUCGGGUUGUAAACCUCUUUCAGCAGGGAAGAAGCGAAAGUGACGGUACCUGCAGAAGAAGCGCCGGCUAACUACGUGCCAGCAGCCGCGGUAAUACGUAGGGCGCAAGCGUUGUCCGGAAUUAUUGGGCGUAAAGAGCUCGUAGGCGGUCUGUCGCGUCGGAUGUGAAAGCCCGGGGCUUAACCCCGGGUCUGCAUUCGAUACGGGCAGACUAGAGUGUGGUAGGGGAGAUCGGAAUUCCUGGUGUAGCGGUGAAAUGCGCAGAUAUCAGGAGGAACACCAGUGGCGAAGGCGGAUCUCUGGGCCAUUACUGACGCUGAGGAGCGAAAGCGUGGGGAGCGAACAGGAUUAGAUACCCUGGUAGUCCACGCCGUAAACGGUGGGGACUAGGUGUUGGCGACAUUCCACGUCGUCGGUGCCGCAGCUAACGCAUUAAGUUCCCCGCCUGGGGAGUACGG